GUAUUUUGAUAAUUGUUAGAUAGGAUGCUACUAUAUUUAUGAAUUUCGAUAUUUUCAAGAUUGAUAGUCUGAUAUGGAUUUUGAUAAUCGUCAUUAUAUUGUGUUAAACUGGACUGUCGUAAAACAGAACUUUCAUCGGAGCUCUCCGUGUUAGCUCGAAAGAAACUAUUGUUGCUAUCAGAGACUCUAGAUGUGUUUUUAUGAUUGCCGUCUGACAAAGGUUCGAAAAUGACCUCAUUCUAAUGAAUUGUUCCUAUUUCAUCAUACUGUACUUCUUAGGAUAUUACAAGACUUGAUUUCGUUGCACGGUUUAAACAGUAGAAAACAUGUGACACGACAAAGCAUAUCACCAAUACUCCAAGCAAAC
rnacentral:lncRNA from 1 species